GCCUGGGUGGCUCAGUUGGUUAAGCUUCUGACUUCGGCUCAGGUCAUGAUCUCACGGUUUGUGGGUUUGAGCCCCACGUCGGGCU
rnacentral:tRNA from 1 species